rnacentral:lncRNA from 1 species
CCUGGACUAAAGCAUCCUUUCAAAUACCAGUCGUAAAGUCUGGACCAGCAAAUACUUGGCACAUAAAGCCCAAGUAUGGCCCAAGUUUCCAAGUAGGAACUUACCCCGUGCACAAAUGGUAAAAAUGUGAACCUAUUGCUUCAUCAGAAGGUAUAAAGGCACAUAAUCUGAUGCAGAGAAAGAGCUAGUGAAUCACAUAAUUAAAGCGUUAAUGUAAAAUCUAGAACAUAACAGGAAUACCAAAUGUGCCUCGAGAGCGAGCAAUUCCGGAAGAGGCAACAAACAAAGCAGGAAAGAUCAAAACUUCACGAGGAAAGAUCGGGACUACAGAACCUCUCGGAUCUAACGGUACGACUUCUGGAACCUGGCGCGUGCGCC